GCCCUCGUAGCUCAGGGGAUAGAGCGUUGGUUUCCGGUACCAAAGGUCAGGGGUUCGAUUCCCUUCGGGGGCACUA
rnacentral:tRNA from 1 species